rnacentral:rRNA from 1 species
AGAGUUUGAUCCUGGCUCAGGAUGAACGCUGGCGGCGUGCCUAACACAUGCAAGUCGAGCGAUCUUCUUCGGAAGAGAGCGGCGGACGGGUGAGUAACGCGUGGGUAACCUGCCUCAUACACAUGGAUAACAUACCGAAAGGUAUGCUAAUACAAGAUGAUAUAAGAGAUUCGCAUGGAUUUCUUAUCAAAGCUCCGGCGGUAUGAGAUGGACCCGCGUCUGAUUAGCUAGUUGGUAAGGUAACGGCUUACCAAGGCGACGAUCAGUAGCCGACCUGAGAGGGUGAACGGCCACAUUGGAACUGAGACACGGUCCAAACUCCUACGGGAGGCAGCAGUGGGGAAUAUUGCACAAUGGGCGAAAGCCUGAUGCAGCAACGCCGCGUGAGCGAUGAAGGCCUUCGGGUCGUAAAGCUCUGUCCUCAAGGAAGAUAAUGACGGUACUUGAGGAGGAAGCCCCGGCUAACUACGUGCCAGCAGCCGCGGUAAUACGUAGGGGGCUAGCGUUAUCCGGAUUUACUGGGCGUAAAGGGUGCGUAGGUGGUUUCUUAAGUCAGGAGUGAAAGGCUACGGCUCAACCGUAGUAAGCUCUUGAAACUGGGAAACUUGAGUGCAGGAGAGGAAAGUGGAAUUCCUAGUGUAGCGGUGAAAUGCGUAGAUAUUAGGAGGAACACCAGUAGCGAAGGCGGCUUUCUGGACUGUAACUGACACUGAGGCACGAAAGCGUGGGGAGCAAACAGGAUUAGAUACCCUGGUAGUCCACGCCGUAAACGAUGAGUACUAGGUGUCGGGGGUUACCCCCCUCGGUGCCGCAGCUAACGCAUUAAGUACUCCGCCUGGGGAGUACGCUCGCAAGAGUGAAACUCAAAGGAAUUGACGG